GAUGUAAACUGAUACUCUUAGCGAUAUUUCUCCACUUCUUCUUCUCAUGAGCCCUCUCUUGAUCUUCUAAGAUAGAGCUAUCUUAAAUCAGUACCUUGAGUUAUUAUUCUGUCUUAGAAUGGUGCUCCUAUAAUAAAGCUUAGUUUAUUUCUAUGAGUCACUGAGGUGUUUGCUCCUUAAUCACAAUCUCUCUAACUGUUGCAUGUAUUAUGCGAACUUUUCAUAGUACAGGGGAGGCAAAUAGUCUUGCAAUUCACUUUGCUUUUAUAACUUCCUUUUGUAGACUUUAACUCUCAGAAAGAUACAUAAAAUGUUACCCUCAUCUUCCUUUAAAUAUGCACAUGAAUAGGAUGCGGUUUCUAAACAGUGUGAUCAACUGGUCAAGGAAUGGAAGACAUGCAAAUGUGUGUAAAAUAAAUAGACUGACCAUUUCAGUGCUAAUCAGGAGCUGCACCUUUAAAGAAUACCACUGGAGCACAUCCAAGCCAAGGUGGAUGACAACAUACACUCAGCACCCAGCUUUUGUUAAGAUACUGAUGCUGUACUUUGGAGCUUGUGGAGGAGGAGGAGUAAAGGAGUGCACAAACUUCAAACAGUCUAAAAAUAAAACUUCACAAAACAGCAUGACAUGUUGGAGCAAGCACUUGAAUGAGAAAUGGAAUGUGGCUGAGCAAGAGAAAGGGGGUGCGCUAGUCUCGUCACAAGGUGGGGCCCAGAGGAUGCCAGGGUAUUAUGAAGGGAUUAUUCUAAGGUGGAGUCAUGCCCUGAAGUCUAAGCCUGGUGGCUUGGCUGAUGAGGAUGUUCCUGCACCUUUUGCUGAUUGAGUCCAUUAUGUGUUGGUGGGAAGGAGGAAAACCAGAUUUCACAUCUAAUGACCUUAUCACAUGGAGGAACCCUCACCCAAUGCCGUUUUGUCAGCAAAUGUAGCGAAACGGCAGACGUAAGGAGUGACUCCAGUACAGCGACACUUCCUCCAUCACACGUAUAUGGAGGGCUGACUACACUCAAGGCUCUGUCCAAAAAUGAAAAAUGGGAAGGACUGGGACACAGGAAAGUCAGUGAGUGUUAGCCAGAUAUUUAUCAGGUAGAGAUUUUGAGUGGUGGGUGAGGUAACACAGUCCUGAAUGCCAGAAAUAGAUGGAACGAAGUGGCCUGUCAUUUCUGUACUUCCUGUUAAUUUCCUUUUAAAGCAUCUUCUGCUGGCUGCCAAUGAACGAAGGAUGCCUUUAGGUUUGGCCUACAUCGGCAGCCUGAGUUAUUUCAGAAUUUCCUCUGUCCAAGGUUAAAGUCCAGAACUUAUGGAUAACCUUUAUUUCCUGUGACCCUUAAAGAGAAGGUUCUGCCUGAUGAGAACAGUUUCAUAGUCCUCUUAAGACCUGGUAACUGAUUAAACUGCUUGUUUGUUCAGCUCUGGUUUGUAGGGUUACUAAGUUACAUCGGGACUUUGAGAUUCCCCUACUAAAAUGAGAUAUGAAGUGCCCCCAGUUUCUACAUCCUAUCUCCUUCUGUCUUUCUCUAGGACAGUGUUUCUCAAUUUUCUUAAUGCCGUGACCCCUUAAUACAGUUCCUCAUGUUGUGGUGACCCUCAACCAUAACGUUAUUUUCGUUGCUACUUUAUAACUGUAAUUUUGCUACUGUUAUGAAUCGUAAUACAGUAGAGUCUCACUUAUCCAAGCCUCGCUUAUCCAAGCCUCUGGAUAAUCCAAGCCAUUUUUCUAGUCAAUGUUUUCAAUAUAUAGUGAUAUUUUGGUGCUAAAGUCGUAAAUAAAGUAAUUACAGCAUAGCAUUACUGCGUAUUAAACUACUUUUUCUGUCAAAUUUGUUGUAUAACAUGAUGCUUUGGUGCUUAAUUUGUAAAAUCAUAACCUAAUUUGAUGUUUAAUAGGCUUUUCCUUAAUCCCUCCUUAUUAUCCAAGAUAUUCGCUUAUCCAAGCUUCUGCUGGCCCGUUUAGCUUGGAUAAGUGAGACUCUACUGUAUAAAUGUCUGAGAGAGUGUGUCCAUCCCUCAAAUGUUGUUGUGCUGCCAGUUCUCAUCAUCCCUCACCCUUGGCUGUGCUACUUUGGUCUGAUGAGAGUUGGAGUUCAACAUUUUCCAGAAGGUGUGUUACUCUGGUAUAUCUGUGUAAAAAGUGAUAUAAAGACUGACUAAGAGAAAGAAGUUGGUAGCAUAAGCUUUUGUAAACUCAUGGUUUGCCUACACUGUCCCCAAAUCCUAUACUCACUGAAAAUGGACCCCAGCAGUCUUCACAAUGCAGAGGGUCUUCCGUUGAGUAUUGUGUUUGAAAUCAACUUUGCUUUGAUUUUAGCAAUAUUCCAUACUUUGCUUGAAACUUCAGAGAAUCCUGGGGCUUUGAGACAUCCUGGACAGCUGGUGAUGGUGAUGAUGAUGAUGAUGAUGAUGAUGGUGUCUUUUCUGCAAUGUUGCAUGAUGCACUUGGGGGCCUGCUUAUCACAGCAGCUGUGAGAGGCGGUGAGCAAAAUCAUCUGGUGGAGAACAGAUGGGGAAGCCAAAAUUUCAGCAUUUUCUAACCAGACUUUAAUUCCAAAUAGAGGAAACCACAGGGCCAUGACAUGACCCCCAAAUCCAGCUGGCAUCUUGACAAGACCAGAUCUACUGUUAUGUAGAAUGAGACAACUGCCCAAGGUAACAUGAAUGUUGCUGGUGCUGCCACUGAUCCUAUUGUUCACAUCCAGGUUUGAGUCCAUAAAUAGUACUGACUCUAUAUAAUUUCAUGUCUACCAAUGCUCCUGGACCACCAACAUUGGGAUGAGUAAUAGAACUCAAUGAUGCUAUUAUAUCAUCACCCUUUUCAAAAAGGGAGAAAGACAGACUGGAAAUUACUGAGGUAUCCCCCUUUUAGCCUCUGCCGGAAAAUUCCUCAUAAGAAUCCUUGCAAACCACCUUCUACCUAUUUCAGAAGACAUCCUUCCUGAAUCCUAGAAUGGCUUCUGCCACUCCAGAUGAACAAUGGAUAUUAUUUUCACUGCAUGAUAGCCCCAAGAAAAAUGCAGUGAACAAAAUUAAACUUUUCACAUGGUAUUCAUCGACCUUGCAAAAGUCUUUGACACUGUGAAUUAUAAUGUUCCUCUCAAAAAUUGAGUGCUCUGAUACAUUUGUGAACAUCCUCUGGGUCCUCUAUGAUGACAUGAUGGCAACAGUCUUGGAUAGCAACAGCUCCUAAAGCAAUGCAUUUAAGGUGGAAUCAGGUGUCAAAGAGGGAUGCAUUAUUUCCCCAACUUUAUUUCCCAUCUUCAUCGCUAUGAUUCAACACCUUGUUGAUGGGAAGCUGCCCACCAUUGUGGAAAUAGCAUAUUGGACAGAUGGCAAGCUGUUUAACAUCAACAGGCUGAAAGCCAAAAGUAAGGUCAAAACUAGCUUCUAUUACUGAAUUCCAAUAUGCUGAUAAUAAUGUAGUCAGAAGAAGACCUACAUGCUACUUUAAACACCUUCGCAAAUGUAAAGUCUUGGCUCUGCCUUUUCCUCUCCUUUGCUUUAGUUCCCCCUGUUUAGAUUUUCCCAAUAGUGUAGAUGCCUCCAUUUCUAUUAGUUUUUGGGUGGAAUAUAAAACUCACCCUAGAGGCUAGCCUUAGUUGGUUUAGUCCAUUUGCCUGUACAGAGCCCUCUUGCUAGACUACUUUCCCUUUUGCAGCAGAUCUAUAGUGUUUAGAGACUUGGACAUUGUCUGGAAAUCAUAGGCCUAGCAAUCCGAAACAGGCAUCCUUAGCACUAAACCCUACAUUCAGCAUUUCUAUACCACCAGUCCCGAGACAACAGAAGCUUUUGGUCAGCCUAAGUUUCACACAGUUGAAGAUCAGGACAUCUGAUAAGCAUCAACUUGUAAUCCAUCGCUUGGCAUCAGAGGCAAAAGACUUUCAAAGACUCCAGAGAGGUGGCUGCAACCAGCAAAAUCUCCCUUCGUAAUGUAUUUUAAGCUAUCUUACAAUAGUCCCGGGUGGAGUUAGCCCCUUGUUCUUCCUGUUUUCAGUAAACUCAUUUUGGUUAUCUUCUCACCUUUCCUGAAGUGCCUCUGUAUAUUAAAAGUCUUGAUCUUAACAGAAGUUAUACAGAUAGCCCCUGAGUAAAGCCAGACACUAUAGUUUCCCCAAAGGCUUGGGCGUGCCAUCACAGCAGAAGUAUUAUAUGAAAAGACUGGCCUCUCACUGAACACUAAAAAAACCCACACCAAAUUGCUCAUCCAAUCCCUCUGCAAUGUGAGAAGUAAAGCUUAAUUGUGUAACACUAUAAAAUGUUGAUUCUUUCUGCUACUUAGGUAGUCAUCUCUCCACAAAAGGUGAUAUUGAUGCAAAAAUACAACACCGUCUGGGCUCAGUGAGUGCACCAUUUUUUCGAAUGCUGAGAAUCCAAGGACUGGAAUGUUCGUAGGUGUUUCUAUACAGCGCAUAAUCAGGUUCCUCUUGGCAAAUGGUUGUUUUUUUCUUAAUUGAACCCCCACCUGCUUUGUUCUAGUUCACAGGAUUAUUCCUAUGUCCAUGGAGCUGUUCCCAGCUGCUUCUUGGUUGCCACUAUAUCUGUGCUUUGUAGAUAAUUACUGUGGGCAAAGUGGCCCAAGAAAGGUUGCCGCCAGAGGCAGAGUAACAAAUCCCCACCCUGAUCGCAGUUAAAUAGUACCUAUCACCCAAGCCAGCCAAGUUAUUUUGGUGCAUGAGGCAGGAAAUCCACAAAGACUUCUCCCUGUCCCUGGCAGUGAAAAUGCAGUAAGAAGAAAUCAAACAAUUUAUUGCUCUUGCAGAAAGCCCAGAAUAUUCUGUCUGAAGCAGCCACCUGGCUAUGCAUUCUGAUAGGGCUUGUCCUGUGUGUGAACCUUUUUGCUCUUGGGAAAAUUCUCCACAACAAGUCUUUUUCCAAUCACUGCAAUCAAGAGAAUUAGUAUUGAUGAUGUCUGUGUGACCUAGGCAUUUCCUAUCUGUCUUCAGGCAGACUGGAAUGUUUCUGCAGAGAAGAAAUGUGCUUUGUAGAUGACCCUAUACCAGGCAUGGGCAAACUUUGGCCCUUCAGGUGUUUUGGACCAACUCCCACAAUUCCUAACAGCCUAUCGGUUGCUAGGAAUUGUGGGAGUUGAAGUCCAAAACACCUGAAAGCCCAAAGUUUACCCAUGCCUGUCCUAUACCCAGAAAUUAUACAACACAAAUAUUUUUGCAGUACCACCAGUUCCCCAGCAAAACGUGGCUAUCUGUCCUAGCCUGUGACACAGAAUUAUUGUGCAUGUUGAAUGUAUUAUUUUUUUCUAAAUUGUGAUAUCACAACAGAUAUCAUUUUCAUUCAAAUGUACUAUAAAAUAUUCACAUGCUUAAAA